rnacentral:rRNA from 1 species
AUCUUGAGAGCGGCGUACGGGUGCGGAACACGUGUGCAACCUACCUUUAUCAGGGGGAUAGCCUUUCGAAAGGAAGAUUAAUACCCCAUAAUAUAUUGAAUGGCAUCAUUUAAUAUUGAAAACUCCGGUGGAUAGAGAUGGGCACGCGCAAGAUUAGAUAGUUGGUAGGGUAACGGCCUACCAAGUCAGUGAUCUUUAGGGGGCCUGAGAGGGUGAUCCCCCACACUGGUACUGAGACACGGACCAGACUCCUACGGGAGGCAGCAGUGAGGAAUAUUGGACAAUGGGUGAGAGCCUGAUCCAGCCAUCCCGCGUGAAGGACGACGGCCCUAUGGGUUGUAAACUUCUUUUGUAUAGGGAUAAACCUACUCUCGUGAGAGUAGCUGAAGGUACUAUACGAAUAAGCACCGGCUAACUCCGUGCCAGCAGCCGCGGUAAUACGGAGGGUGCAAGCGUUAUCCGGAUUUAUUGGGUUUAAAGGGUCCGUAGGCGGAUCUGUAAGUCAGUGGUGAAAUCUCAUAGCUUAACUAUGAAACUGCCAUUGAUACUGCAGGUCUUGAGUAAAGUAGAAGUGGCUGGAAUAAGUAGUGUAGCGGUGAAAUGCAUAGAUAUUACUUAGAACACCAAUUGCGAAGGCAGGUCACUAUGUUUUAACUGACGCUGAUGGACGAA